rnacentral:miRNA from 1 species
CAGCACCACCAAGAUUCACA